CGGGUGAGUAAUACAUCGGAACGUGUCUUCUAGUGGGGGAUAACUGCCCGAAAGGGCAGCUAAUACCGCAUGAGACCUGAGGGUGAAAGCGGGGGAUCGCAAGACCUCGCGCUGGAAGAGCGGCCGAUGUCCGAUUAGCUAGUUGGUGAGGUAAAGGCUCACCAAGGCGACGAUCGGUAGCUGGUCUGAGAGGACGACCAGCCACACUGGGACUGAGGCACGGCCCAG
rnacentral:rRNA from 1 species